AAGAAGUCAGCCACUCCCUUCCAAGUUGCAAUCUGAAGCUCCACACCACGAGUUACUUCAUCAAUUGGCUUGGCAGUUGAAUUCACCAUCUUCAUACUGCCUACUUCUUUUGAGACCCAACGCCCAAGUCUUUUUGCUUCCUGCACUGACACAAAGUUGUGCGAGGCACCCGUAUCCACCAAACAACGGGUUGUCUUGCCAUCCACCAUGGCAUCGACGAACAUCACUCCCUUAGCUUGAACCUGUGGUUGAGUCUUUGACCUAUAAGGCAUUGAAGCGAUGAAUGGCCCCCAUUCCUGCUUCCCUGUUGGUCUCCUCUUCCUUUUCUUGGUUCAUAGCAUUCAAGGCCUUCGUUCGCGGACAAUCCCUCAUCAUGUGCGGUCCAUUGCAUAAGUAACAAGCUAGCUUUGAUUUGUCCUUCCCCUUGUCACCUUUGUCAUUUUUCUUCACAAAUGACUUGUGACUGUCAGACUUGUCACCUUCUUUUGACUUGUUGUCUUCCC
rnacentral:lncRNA from 1 species